rnacentral:lncRNA from 1 species
AAAUUUCUACUUAUAAUAUUAUUUAUUAAGGAAUAACGGUCAUACACAGUUCUGUAUAUUUUAUUUGUGCACUGUGACGCCCCCAAAAUAGGUAUACAACACCCAUUCUGAGUCGUCAAAUACAUGGUACAUAAAGCAAACUACAACUUCAAUAAUAUAAUUGUCGUGCAUAAUACGACAACACAUACUGUGAGUUUAAAUACAAAUAUUAUCUUCUAGACAAUAUCCACACUCAAAUAAGUCUUCAUUACAAUUAUUUAAACACUAUUUUACAGAAAUAGUGAGGACUACUAAAACAUCUUUCUAAAACCAUCACUCCGUACCCCGACUAGUUUCUGCUAUGUUUCACCUCCUGAGAAGAAAAAUGGAACAAAAAGGAAAAGAGUGAGCUCAACUAGCCCAGUAAAGAAUAUUAUGACUAAGAUAAUAUACAACAAAUUAUCAUUAGUUUUCAACAGGAAAAAAUCUGAUAAAAUAUAAUAGACAACAAGUUUUAGAUCAACAACUGUAGCGGAAACAGCUAUUCAUUAGAAGAGUCAAGUACAGAAUAAGUUCUACUAUCUUCUAAGAUUUAAAAGUCCAUCAUCAAUUUUAUCCAUGUAACAACAAUCAAUAUACAUCUUUAAUCAAUAUUCAUCUUUGCACUACAGGCCAAAGAUAUUCAUUUGUAUCACCAGUUGGUCAAGUUCAUCUCAACACCUGUUCAUCUUCGCACUACGGGCCAAAGAUAUUCAUCAGUUAAUCAUUCAUCUUUGCACUACAGGCCAAAUAUAUUCAGUAAAAUCAUCAUUUAGGACUGAGAAUGAUGAAAAAUAUUUUAAAUAAAACGAAUCCAGUGAGACAGAAGGACAAAUAGUAAGGAUUCGUAUAACAGUUUAUCCAAGAUCAAUAAUACUCCAUAAUAACCAAUUUUGAAGCAAAAUUCAAGAAUAAAGAUCAAAAUAUGGAUACAAUCAAAGAUAGUAACCAUAAUGGACAUCUUGGACAAAAAGAAGAAAAUUUUAUUUUUCGGUGAAUAAUGUCGUAUUCGUGAAUAGUGCCGUAUAUGUGAAUAGUGUCGUAUACGUGAAUAGUAAUCCCGACACAAAAAUUUUCUAAAUUUGAUAGAAAGUUCAUACCAACAUUUCGGUAUAAUGAUAUUGAAGAAAAUAUCAUUUUAAGAAGAAUAUAACACCCCUUACCUCAAAACAACCGUACUUCUGACUGAAUUUCGGAUAUAGUGCUGACAGAAACUUGUACUAAAAAAUAGAAACUCACAAAGUAUCUAAAUACUCACAAAAUACGCUCGAUAAUAUAGAGAGAGAAAGAGAGAAAG